rnacentral:rRNA from 1 species
GACAGAGGUGCCAAGCGUUAGGCGGAAUCACUGGGCUUAAAGCGUGUGUAGGCGGAUUCCUAAGUACCUUGUGAAAUCCCACGGCUCAACCGUGGAACUGCUCGGUAUACUGGGUAUCUUGAGCCACUUAGGGGCGACCGGAACAAAUGGUGGAGCGGUGAAAUGCGCAGAUAUCAUUUGGACCGCCAAUGGGGAAAACAGGUCGCUGGGAGUGUGCUGACGCUGGGACACGAAGGCCAGGGGAGCAAACGGG